rnacentral:rRNA from 1 species
UUUUAUUUGAGAGUUUGAUCCUGGCUCAGGAUGAACGCUGGCGGCGUGCCUAACACAUGCAAGUUGAGCGAUUUACUUCGGUAAAGAGCGGCGGACGGGUGAGUAACGCGUGGGUAACCUACCCUGUACACACGGAUAACAUACCGAAAGGUAUGCUAAUACGGGAUAAUAUAUUUGAGAGGCAUCUCUUAAAUAUCAAAGGUGAGCCAGUACAGGAUGGACCCGCGUCUGAUUAGCUAGUUGGUAAGGUAACGGCUUACCAAGGCGACGAUCAGUAGCCGACCUGAGAGGGUGAUCGGCCACAUUGGAACUGAGACACGGUCCAAACUCCUACGGGAGGCAGCAGUGGGGAAUAUUGCACAAUGGGCGAAAGCCUGAUGCAGCAACGCCGCGUGAGUGAUGAAGGCCUUCGGGUCGUAAAACUCUGUCCUCAAGGAAGAUAAUGACGGUACUUGAGGAGGAAGCCCCGGCUAACUACGUGCCAGCAGCCGCGGUAAUACGUAGGGGGCUAGCGUUAUCCGGAUUUACUGGGCGUAAAGGGUGCGUAGGCGGUCUUUCAAGUCAGGAGUGAAAGGCUACGGCUCAACCGUAGUAAGCUCUUGAAACUGGGAGACUUGAGUGCAGGAGAGGAGAGUGGAAUUCCUAGUGUAGCGGUGAAAUGCGUAGAUAUUAGGAGGAACACCAGUUGCGAAGGCGGCUCUCUGGACUGUAACUGACGCUGAGGCACGAAAGCGUGGGGAGCAAACAGGAUUAGAUACCCUGGUAGUCCACGCUGUAAACGAUGAGUACUAGGUGUCGGGGGUUACCCCC